AUUGAACGCUGGCGGCGUGCUUAACACAUGCAAGUCGAACGCGAAAGGGACUUCGGUCCUGAGUAAAGUGGCGCACGGUGAGUAACGCGUGGAUAAUCUGCCCUUAUGAUUGGAAUAACAGUUGGAAACGGCUGCUAAUACCGGAUACGCUCAAAAUGAACUUUUUGAGGAAAGAUGGCCUCUGCUUGCAUGCUAUCGCAUAAGGAUGAGUCCGCGUCCCAUUAGCUUGUUGGCGGGGUAACGGCCCACCAAGGCAACGAUGGGUAGCCGAUUUGAGAGGAUGAUCGGCCACACUGGAACUGAAACACGGUCCAGACUCCUACGGGAGGCAGCAGUGGGGAAUAUUGCGCAAUGGGCGAAAGCCUGACGCAGCGACGCCGCGUGAGGGAUGAAGGUUUCGGAUCGUAAACCUCUGUCAGAAGGGAGAAACUACGUUGUGCUAAUCAGCAGCGUA
rnacentral:rRNA from 1 species